GGUGUAAAUGCGUCAUUAGGGUGUUAAGGUCCCUAAUUAGGGAGACUUAUAUAAAAGUCAAUAAAAGCUGCGCCCUAAUUAAGGGCCAUGACCAUGCAGACCCUUGAAAUCAAAUAAUCAUUAAGUGCGGGACAGUCUUGCCUUUACAAAGGCUCAAACCAUCUAUGGAUCAAACACGAUAUCACACGAUGACGUCGGAGUCGCGCGCCGUUUUCAACUUUCUGGUCGUCACCGAUACGGCUGGAUUCGAACCAACGUCUUCCAGCAAACUUUAGACGCACGCGGUCGCUGAGUGGCGGCAACCCGGACUCCGCGCUUCGACCGCGCGGGGUGGGCGCGAUGAAAUUCGUCCCGUCACUUGGUAUCAUCAAAAAAACUCUCUUCAUAUUUGAAAUACUCUCAAGAAAAAUAAAAGCUUAGCAAUAUAUCAUUUUUAUUUAAUUUUACACAUAUAUUACACAAUAUUAUUUUUUUUCAUUCUGCUCACUAUUUUCACUAAAUGCUUAAUAUAAUUCAAAUAUUUACAGAUAUUUUUUGGAUUUGUAUUUCAUAAAUUACAUUAUUUGAACAUCGUCUAUUUUGGUACAACACAUAUACGCUAAUACAUUAUUUUUUAAUUUUCAAAAUCACAGUACAUUAUGAAAUUUUUGCUAAGUUCAUAUAACUAAUAAGCGGUUUGAUAGUCAAUAGUUUCGAUAUCGACGUAAAGCAUUAAAGGUAGAUCGCAUAAAUCAGCCCUCGUCCAAAAAGCUACAGAACCGCGCGGGAAGACGACAUUGAAUCGCACCAGGGCAGGGCAAUGGGCAGAACAUACGUUAUGACAGGUCGC